rnacentral:lncRNA from 10 species
CUACGGGCAUGCGCGUGCGUGCAGGCCGGGUCGGCAGAGGCGCCGGCGCAAGCGCAGACAGGAACCGCUUGCCGUCCGCCGCCCCUCCCCCACUCUCUGAGGGGCUUCAAGGGAACGCUCUCAAAUAGCAACCUGUCUUCACGCCGCGCCGCCUCCAGGACCGAAGGGCUCCCUCUACAGGGGUGCGCUCAUAUUGCCAACAGUGUCGCCGUGCCGCGUCACGGCAUCGUCCGAACGCCCGCAGACGCCUCAACCCCAGGGCGCAUUCACCAGGGAACCGCCACAACGUAGGCCGCUCCGUUACCUCCCCCUUUGGCGCUUCCACUUCUUUAAUUGGGCCGUGGGCCACGCGCCGGGCAGGCCCUGACUGGAGUUUCCGGAAGUCGGUUGAGAUACCAGGGUUGUGCGCACACAGAGGAAAGGCCAUGUGAGGACACAGUGAGGACAGCUGUCUGCAAACCACCAAAGAAACCAAACCUGCUGACACCUUGACCUUGGACCGCCAGCCUCCAGAAUUGUGAGAAAUAAACUUCUGUUGUUUAAGUUACUCAGUCUGUGGUCUUUUAUUAUGGCAGCCUAAGCACACAGAUGUACUAUUUGAGUGCAUAGAGUAUGUUUUACCUCAUCUCACCUUCACAACAGCCCUAUGGGUGGGGC